rnacentral:lncRNA from 1 species
GUGGUUAAACAGUGUCUUCUCCUCUCUUUCCCACCUAAGAUGCAGGGCCUGGAACAGAGAGUGGAUGUAGAGCGGCAGUGGGCAGCCGGCUGGCCCCCCAGCAGCAGGCAGAGCAGCCCUGAAGGGCAGGACGAGGGAGGGGUCAGUGCUUGCCUGGGGCUGAGUCCUUGCUUGGCAUGUUGUCUGUGGGCUUGGUCAUCCAGUGGGGUGCCGGCAGCCCUGCUCGACUUCCAGCUGCCUGCUGAUGCCACCCCCCCCCCCCAGGACAGUGUGCCUUUUGCCUCAGUCAGCCCUGUUGAGGGCUGUCAGCCCGUCUAUUGAGGGUAGAGAGCCUCAUGGGUGUUCGGCUCUGAGUUGCCCACACCAGGCCCUGGAAAU